GACGAACGCUGGCGGCGGUGCCUAACACAUGCAAGUCGAACGAAGCUUGACUACGGACUCCUUCGGGACGAAGUAAGAUAUGACUGAGUGGCGGACGGGUGAGUAACGCGUGAGUAACCUGCCUUUCAGAGGGGAAUAGCGUUUGGAAACGACUGCUAAUACCGCAUAAGACCACAGAGCCGCAUGGCUCGGGGGUCAAAGGAGAAAUCCGCUGAAGGAUGGCCUCGCGUCCGAUUAGCUAGUUGGCGGGGUAACGGCCCACCAAGGCGACGAUCGGUAGCCGGACUGAGAGGUUGAUCGGCCACAUUGGGACUGAGACACGGCCCAG
rnacentral:rRNA from 1 species